rnacentral:lncRNA from 1 species
GGUUGUUUAUUCUUUCCAAAAGUGUUUUUCAGAGAACAUGGGUUUUAAUGAGGUUGUUGACUAAUUAAUUUCUCUGCAACAAUUCAUUGAUGCGGGUUCUUAAUCUGUGGUGCAGUCAGAAAUCUUCAAGAGAGUCUUCACCAACGACCACAGGUACUCCAACAGAUGAGCCGGGAGUAUCAGGGUCCGGAACCUAUGAGCAAGGAGUAUCAGGGUCCGGAACCUAUGAGCCAGGGGCAUCAGGGUCCGGAACAAUGGGAUCAAUGACAAUCGGCUCAGGGUCAGGCUCAGACUCUGGAGCAAUGCUGGCAGAUGGGUCAUGGUUAGCUGGUUUAGCCAUGGGAGACUCAGCCAGGGCUCACUCUCCAUCAUCAUUCGCUGCCUCUUUAGCUCUCUCUUUCCUCCUCUUCUCCUUUGUUUACUUGUAGCCCAUCGUUCUGUUAGCUUUCAUGGUUUUGGGUUUUCCAUGUGAAUUCAAUUACAUAUUUUGCAGCCUUAAUGGGCAUUGUGGGGGGUUUUGCCUUGUGUUUGGGAAAGAAGAAAGCUAACAAAUUACUCCAGACUGUGAACCACCCACUUCAAGAUUCCCCAGAAAUAUUCAAUGUUAACGUACAUACAUUAAAAAUAUUGUCCAGUUUUCAAAGUUCUGUCACUGUAGCCUUAAAGCAAGAAAUGGGGAUGUGGGGAUUGGGGGGUUUCAUCUUCUUUGGAUUCUUGAUUUGUAUACUACUGGUUUUGGGUUUUUUCCAGUAGACUCUGGCAAAAGGGUGAGUGAAUGAUGUGAAUGUGUGAGUAGGAUUGGUGAUGGGUGUGUGAGAAAUCAUCACUUUGCGGGCAUUGCAAGCUUGGCCCAGCUUUUUUUUUUUGUCUGUCCACCAUCGAGAUGCAUCUUUAAAUGGGCUCUUUCUCUUUGUUUUCAUAAUGGUAUGUGGGAUAUAAAGACAUGGAUAAUUAAGCUUUAUGUUGGAACUUUUGGCUGGACUUCUAAAAGAAAAUGACUUCAUCAUGUGGCCAACUAUGGCCAAAUGCAGUCUUGUCUUCCACAUACUACAACAUGGGAGAAUAAAGCCAAAGAUUAUGGAUCAUUUAUUCUUAGCUUCUUGAAGCAGGCUUGCUGAAUUUUUUUACAGAAACUAGUAUGAAUCCUUCUGGUUUUGUAAAAAUUAUGUCAUUGGAUGAUUUUACAUGUACAGCAAUGUUUAUGAAUAGGGGUAGAGUGAAAGAUUUCAACUUCCACCUCAAAAGUACUGAAGAAGACACUGGUCUUUUCACCUUUUCAGAAUUUGACCAAGCCCACCGGCCGUAAUCCAGGCGUAAUUGGAGGAGUGGCUGUCCCAAACUAAAACCUAGCUACUUUGGCUCAAGCCUAUUUUCUCAUUUUUCUUUUUGACUUCUAUAGUAAUACUUUAAUGCAACAUAUCAUCAGCCGUGAGAGUGAUUUUAAGAGGGUUAGAAGGGUUUUCUAAACUUGAAUUGGAGAGAGUAUAUCCAUGACUCGUAGGGCAGGGAUACAAUAAUUAAACACAUUAGAGAGGCCACGUCUUUUUAAAGGAUUUUGUCUCUUGUGCUUGGCCUUGAGCUCACUAUGGCAACAACCACAGAAGCUCCAAACAUGGUGAUAUAAUGCUGUUCAGCUAAUACUUGUCAGUUGGGCAAGAUAACAUAAUGAAAACUGCUGUAUAUUUCAGUCCUCCCCAACUCUCACAGCCAAACUUGUUCUUCAUGGGGGAAAAAUUGAAGGUAUUGCCCUUUUUUAGGUCACCAGUAGUUGGCAAAUCAAUAGGUCUACUAGUUGGUAUCAUGGAACAAUUGCAUCAUGGGCAAGUCGAUUUAUAUUCUGGGUCCUACACACUAUCCAUCUUCAUCAUACCUGUAAAGCCUUAUCAAGUUCUGCCAUUCAAAUUAAUUAUGUGGACAAAGUUCAAUAAAACAACGACUUUGUUGGAUGAUUUGGACAGCAUAAGGAAGUGGGAAUGGAGGUCAAGAGAAGGCAUAUUACAAUCCAUGUUCAAGGGAAAAAUAGAUGUGAAAGCUGAGUCUGCAUUGUGGUAGUUGAGGAAGAAGAAGUUAGGAUGAAGACUACGUGGAAUCAUUGUCAUCAUAAAAAGGUGAAGUGAAGAAUCAGACAUGUGAAAAACAAGCUACCUCGAUUAGAUUGAACAUGACCUGCUAUAGAAGAGAGUCUGAAAUCAUUUUCAUUGAUCCUUUAUUUGAUUAAGAAUUUCAAAAGAAAAUAUGGGGUUUGCUACUUCUUUAUAUAUGAAUAGAGUCCACCCAUGACCAUUACAAUAAGACCAGAAGGUAUGAAGAUGAAUUCCUUUUCUGCAUAGUCAAGGAGAAAGCAGUAAGCACAAGGGUUAUGGAGCUUUCCUAGGUAUCAUUAUGAAACAGAAGGAAGAAGUGUGGAAGGUGGGAUCACAGAGGGAACAGUGCAGUUAUGGAGUAGAGUCCCAUGCCUAGUCACAUGCCUUGGCCUAAUGUGGACACAAGAAGGGACAUCCCUAACAUUUUCCUCAUCUUCUAGUGCUUUGAGUUUUGGCAUAUGUUUAGGGACUCAUCCUUCAAUCUUAGCAUCCAAGGGUCAUUAAAUUCCCUUCCAACCACAUACAUCCCUAUCAAAACUGUUGAAUUUUGACUUAGUAUCUGCUGGAAUUUGAAUUUUGAAGUUUAAUAUUGCAGCUGGAGUCUUGCACAAAAUCUGCAACAUUCAAAUAUUUUCUUGUUUUUAUUUGGUCAAGAUUUGGUUUCUAUUUUAUACGAAGUAGUUGUUCAUCAUCCAAUAGCUUGAUUUUCUUCUAUUCUAAUGUCAUUUCAGUUACAAGCUCAUGUAUAAAUUCAGCACUCUUCAUCAAUAAAAUGUGUUCCAGCAACCCAAAAUACAUAUUCUGCAUAAGUGUUUAAAUCUUAGACCAACAAGGACAGUCACUUAAGGGCAAUGACCUUCUGAGUAGGGAAGUAUGAUGAGAUUGUGCUCUUUUUUCUCACUCCAUACUCCAUUUUCUGCGCUUGCACUAGUCCUUUCCUUUAUGCACGUUUCGGACUUUAGAUCCCUUCAUGAUGUAGGGGACCAUGAAUCCAAAUGCCCAAAUCCACAGCCGAAAAAUCGAAAGAAAUCGUAAGGAACAAUGAAAGAGAAGCAGAGUGAUACCAUGUCAUGGAAUUAGAAACACACUCUAGGACUAUUGCCAUAGUGGAGAGAUUGGAGCUUGGCAGCACGUAGAAUCCUCCAAAUUUCUUGCAAAAAUCUACAUAUUAUGUUUCUUGCUAAUAGAAAGAAAAAUUAAUCAGAGACUUCAAGCUACCUAAUCAUUUUCUCAUUGCUUGAAUGGGAUAAACAAACGUAUAUCAUGUGACUGAUGUAUUUUUUGUCAUUCUGCUAUAGUUCUGCCAUUGUUAGACCACAGUUAAAUCUAUAUGAGUUUAUAGUUGAAUGCUGAAGUGUCUGGUUUCAUCUCCUCUGCAUAGAGAGAAUGUUGAAUUUGCAGUUCUGUUGCCAUAUCUUACAGUAACCUGGUAUUCACCCAAGAAACCGAAAAAGCUAUACGAACCAUGGUCAUCAGUCUGACCCCCUAUCUCCCCAGUUUGCCAUUCUUUCAGGAUCUUGUCUACCACAUCACCAGCAGGGAGGUUAUGAAAAUUAUUAUCUGUUAGGCACAUUUGGUAACACCCAUAUGAAUGAAGUGCAGUCCACAGCAUUAUCCCAUUCACUGAAGGAUGUGAAAAGCCUUCUCUCAGUACUUGUUCUAGAUAUACAGCCUGUAAAGGAGACAAGGCAAGGGAAAAAAACUCAGCCCUUUGAGGGAAAUGAUGUUUGAAGAAAUGUUAAUGAAGGGUUUUUCUUGCUCACCUGUGUUUCCUUGCUAAGUGUAUUGCUGAUAUCUAUUUCUGUGAGCCAAAUGGGAAGCUGCAGAGUGGCCAACUUGUCUAGGAUAGCCCUGAUAAGAGGAGGGUUUGGUAUUGUGAAAUGGCCCUCAAGGCCAAUUCCACUCAUGGUUGCUCCACCCCUGCUGAGCUCUCUUAGCCUUGAAAUAUAUGCAUCCACUGUUGAAUUCACAUCACUGCAAGUCUCCACCACAUUAAAAUCAUUCAUGAAGAGGGUUGCUAGGGGGUCUGACUCGUGUGCAGUCUCAUAGAAAUGCAGGGUGGCAUCAGGGCCUAGCCGCUGCUCAUAGAAAUCAAAGUGAAGCAUUUCAUUACUAACAUCCCAAUGUACAAAUUCAUCUUUGUACUUGCUCAUUAGACUUUGAAUCCUGUUGUUGACAGCUGAUUGUAGGGCAGGGCCUGAAAGGUUCCGAACCCAUGCAGGCGUGUACUUGGGGUCCUCCCAGAAGAUAUUGUGCCCUCUAGCAACAAUCUGGUUUGCUCGGACGAAUUCCAACAUUUGGUCUGCUAAGGCAUAGGUGAUGUUCCCAGGAUCAGGCUCUGUUGCAUACCACUUGAGCUCAUUUUCAAACACUGCAGCAUUGAAUCGCUUCACGAACCAGUUCUGAAAAAUUGGAAGAAUUUGAAUUUUGUGUCUUUCUGCUUUCUAAGGUGCCAUCUUAAAGAUUUUGUGUAGACACUACCGACCUGAUAAGGCAAAUUCCCAAGAAUGGUCUUUGCUAUAGCAGAUCCAAAUGGGAAAUCCUUUGAGACUUGAUCUACUGUAAUUUCUGCUCCUUGCAGCCUCUCUCCCUGUGUGUUUGCUACAUGGAUUGUGACUGCACGUUUCCUUUCCUACAAGAAGUCAUUCAUUUUCUCAAUGAUCAAACAAGGGCCUAAGAGGGAAAGGGCUUCUAGUACUCACAGUGUUGAUUAUAUAUUGUUGAUUUGUGCUCCACUCCUGAUCGGUGAACGGCUGCAAAGAAGCACUUGUGAUUGCUAAAUCAACAGCUCUCUCAUCUGAAUUCUGCAAAACUGAAGAAUCAUCAGACAAAAACCUGGCCUUCUCAAUCUUUUCAAUUUCAUUUCUCUGUUUUCAUCUCAUUUUAUAACCUGAUUCUUCAUUAGUACCAGUAUCCAUCUGAUUCUUAAUAUCUUUAAUUACCUGAAAGAAGAGGAGAGAGUAAUCCAAGGGUUCAUCAAGAACGAACCCACCCUUUAGAAAAGACCAGCAUCCACGCCUAGCAGUAACCGUCCCUACACAGUUGAUUGUUUUUUUUUCUGACAUUAGGCUUGCCCUUAUAGGAGCUGAGUCUGCACCCUUUAUCUUCACCCAACCUGUUGACACCAAAUGUAGCAGAAAUGAAUCAACCCCACCAACUAUAUAAUGCCAUAAAGCCCUAGAAACAAUUUGCUUAAUGAUCUACUGUUCAAUUUUCUUACAUAAUCAUUUCAUUAUCCAAGUGAUCCCUAGAGAAAAGCCAUUUAGCUUUAGGCAAAAAGUUACUAAUUUCAAUGUAGAAAAGAGAAAAGAACUCAACUGGAGAAACAGUACUUGGUGCCAGUGGUGAGGUUGCGCAGGACGAAGGCGGGAGAAUAAACACCAUCAGCGAGCACACGUGGGAUAUCCCAGCGGGCGCCUUUGAGGAUCCCACCAUUGUAAAGAGGGCCCUCGGCCCGAGUUUUGCACUGCCAGAGGUAAGUGAAAAUGAUGAAUCAACACCCACAAACAACAUAAGACUCAUCGAAGAUGUGACCUCGUUAUAUACUAUUAUUACGUUAAUAAUACAGCUUCAAUGAUAUAAGAUGAAACAAUUCAAUAUGGGAAUGCCUGCUGUUUUUUGGUUGUCUCUUGCCUUAGAAAGCUGGAGAGAUAAACACAACAUCAACUGAAAAAUCUAUACAGCAAAUGCCCUGGUUUGGUGCUUACCUGAGUGUAGGCAGAAAAAUCAUAUAGAGGCCCAUCUGCAGUAUUGGACACCAAAUCAAAAAAUGAAAAAACCCCCAUCAACAUAAGAUACUGAAACCAAUGUGGGUGUGAAAGAGAGAGAUGGUACCAUAAGGAGCAGCUAAUGGAGGGUCUGCAAGGAAGAAGAGAAGCAGGAAGCAAAAGGGCAGACCAUACAUCAUGCUCUUGGUCUCUGCUCAGACCCUGAAGCUGCCAAAAACAUACAAAACCCUCAUAACUCUUUCAUGAAAUGAGGUAGGUUGCACAGAGAGAGAACGGGAGAGAGAGAGAGAGAGAGAGAGAGCUCACAAGGGAAAUAGUGCAGGUUCUGAGUAGCCCCGUGCCUUGCUCACAUGCAAGGCAGUAAGGGAGGCCUUCAUGUGAAUAUAAGCUGGGGUACAACUCAAAUCUCAUGCCUUUGAGUGUGGUGGCACUGGUAUAGAAGUUAAGGGAUUAGUCCUUGUUAACCUUUACUGAAAAUCAUCAAUGAUAUAAUUUAUUAUUGGCUCAGACCCCAUCAACGCAUCCGGCAACACUUUUAUUCCUUCAUUUGGCUUUAUUGAUCUCUUCUUAAGGACCAAUGUUUAGUCUGCCUUUUUGGUUUGAGGAGAGUCAAAAAAGGGUAAUUGCUUAAUGACAAGCCGUGUGGACCCUAGCAUUGUUCUCAAAAGUAAGCGUGGCACAACUUAUAAUUUUCUGUCAGUUCAUUCAAUGUUUUCUUUUUGUAGAUGAGCAACCAACCUAUUUAGAAGUCAUGGUUGAACUCCUUGCCAAUGGGUGAAAGAUUUCUCCUCUUUGCAUUCAUUACAAUUCUUAUUAUACAUGUGUUAUAAUGGGAAGAUAAGUCAUAAUAUCAUAUAGAAAAGAAGAAUCAAAAUCAUCGGCGAGAGUGAAUUUGGUUUCUAUAUUAAUGAAUUUUUUAUUCAUAUUUUCAUUCUGAAAAUCAAUCCAAACAUUAAUGAACGAUAAUUGAAUUGAUUUCUUAUUCAUAUUCUCUAAUUUAGCAUUUCAAACAAACCUCGAAGAAAUCGAUUUUGGUUUUUUCAUAAAGGAAUCAAACAUUUCUCAUGUUUUUAUGUAAUCUUCAUGCAUGUGUGAGAUCAAUUACUUAUACAUAGGAAAAAUGUGUAUGAUUCAAGUAAAAACAAAAAUGCCCAUCAAGCUUGAUAUUCAACUCCAACACUAGACAAACCAUAAUAACUUGCUUUUGGGUGAUCAUUGCAUAAUGACAAGCCUAAUUAUCAUUUCCACACUCUUUGGGCAAUUUCAAAAAAUUAGUGCCUUUUAAAUUGUUAAUCCAAUUAGAGAAAUAUAAUCCAAUUAGAGAAAUAUUGAAUAUUUGGUGCUAAUAAAUUAAUUUAUAAAAAGCAUGGGGAUUAAGAUGAAAUUAACUAUAAAAUUAGGUGUUUUUUAACAAAAAUAAAUCAUUGUAAUGAGUUUGAGAUCCAAAACUCUAUCAUGUGUAAGAAUUUUAAAAGCAGAGCCAUUUUGAAUUAUUAGUUAUUACCACUCAAAAAAACACCAAAAUAAGAUGAAGUUACAACCAAAUGUGAACAAAAGGUUUGGAUCUAGCAGAAGAGGAGAUGAACCAGAGAAGAAUGGUACAAAUUAAAAUUCGGUGAGAAUGGGAUUGAAGGCAGAGGAGAGGAGGGCCGACCCAUAAUUGAGGGAUUUGUCCUUCCUUGGUGGGGGUUUUUUGGAGGGUGGCCUUACAUGGGUCCCCAGAGAUUCAUAUAUUGGAUGCUACCUCUUGAGCAGUGACCCCACGAUGGGGUAAUUGAGCAGUCCUCCACUGUCUGUGGCAGUGGUCUCACGGCUGAAUUUGCACGCCAGGAUUAUAGCAAUGGACCAUUGGGUUCACACGCUCAAUCAAUGGUGAUGAUAUGUGGCAUAUUUUACUGCAGAAAAAUGUUAAAUUACUAUCCCCAAUUUCUAUAUUAUUUAGGGAACAUUGAAUAAAAAUUGAAAAAAUUGGAUUUAGUGUUGUAGGCCUGUAAGAUGAGCCCAACUACAUUAGACGGGCUAAACUAGAAGGUGGUCAUUCAAGGCUGUGGAAGAGACAAAAGGCCCAAGAUAGAAGAGAAGAAUAUCCAACUACAGCUGAGCCCAUUCCCAAAAGGGCCAGUGUAAGAGUAGACUACAAAAUCAACGGACCAUGCAGUGCAGAACUCAAACAACAAAGGAACAUUGAGCUCACGAAAUUUAAAAUAAAAAAAAAAAACAAAAAUUGCACAUAACUAUGACCAAAAAUACAACAAACAAUCAAUCAAUCCCCAUAGUACAAAUCUAGAAUGAAGAUCAAACCAUAUGGUACUUCAUGACCAAAUGGCAUGUUCAGCAACAUCAUGUAGAAAACCUACAUAAGGCAGCGCAUCUAGAACAAGUACCUGGCCAUAUGAUCUUUUUUGAUAAUAUGGGAAUGAUUUAUUUUUCAGAUUAGAACAUUUCUCUUGAGAAAUGCCCAUCAAGCUAUCGUUGUUCAACAUAAGAGUAUCACUGGGCAAAAGCCCGUCAAUCUUAUGUUUCUUCUCAUCUGGUCUCGUCCCGUCUCUUUGGGAUUGUGAGCAUUUAUCGGCUGUUGGAUGGGGCCGCUGGCUUCUUUGAUCUCUUGCUCGCGCGAAUCUUGGAGUAAACAUUCUUUGUUCUAAUUGCCAGUAGGACGUCUAAGCCAAACCCGAUAAUGCAUGAUAAGGCCAUUACCACGAACACCAGCCUGUAACAGUGGGGGCCUAUGCAUGUGGUGCCACCUCCUGCUGUGCGGGUAGCAUGGGCGUCAUACAACAAGCCAGCAAGCAGGCCGGAGAAGAGGAAGGAGCCAAGGGGGAGGUUGAGGAUUAGAAUGUUGUAGAUGAGACCAUAAUAUUUCAGGCCAAACAGUUCAGAAGCAAUGGGGACUGUGACAGCGAGACGAACUCCAUAGCAAAUCCCUACCACGACUGAACCAAUGUAUAGUGAGCCAGGCAAAGCCAUGGCCAUCACAACAUACCCAACUGCCAUCAGAAUCUGAGAAGCUGCAUUCCAGAAAGGUCUUGGUGUUCCAGCUUUUCUGCAAAUUUGAAACCGAGCAUAAGACUACUAAAUCAUUCUGCAUUGAGUACAGCUAUUAAAAAGUUUGUCCAAAGUCCUAGGAGUUAGCCAAGGGCAUAUGGCAGUUGAUUACAUGGUCUUGAGUAGAUAGAGUAUCUCCUAGUCCAGAAAAUCAAGCUUUGAAUCCAUCCAUCAUACAAUGGAAAUUAGUUAACCUACUUGCAUUUGCCGGUAUUUUAGGGGGAAACCUGUCGACUUAAGCCUAUACUAGGCAUUGACAACAACCCAACAAAGAUUGCAUUGGUAUGAACUCACAUUUUCUUGCCAAAGAAAAAGAAACAACCCACUUUGGGUGGACUCGACUGUCAAAUGGGACUCAUAUGUAUGGUCUUGAUCGAACUUUUACCAUGGAAUUAUGGAAUAAGAAGGCACGAAAUGUAGCCCUAGAACUAUUUUGGAUUCAGAUAGUGUGGUUAAGAAUGGACCAGGGUAACAUCCAAGAGGUGGGCAGAUUGUCAAUUUGGAAAUCGGGUGGGGGUAGGACCUGACCAAUUUGUUUGGGGUUCAUCCCUUCACCCUCCCAAAUGGACAAAUUUUGCCACAGCACUUUUCCUUUAGACUUAAAGCCAAAAGGGAUCCGAUGGUUAGGACUGCAAGCGAAGGCAUCACAUGAUCUUCACACAGACCAGUUAAACAACUUAAUUCUUUCAAUCAUCAUCAACCACUUACAUCAUGCUGUGGAUUGAUCAGGAACCUUUUAUGUUGAAAAGAACUUAGGAGCGUUUUUUCUGUUAGCCGAAACUUUUCAUUGAAAAGAACUUGGGCGAGUUUCUUUCUGUUAACCGAACACCUCAGAGACCUUUCUUUAAGAUUUUUUUCCCCUGAAAAAGGCCAGUUAACAGGAACAUGAAGAAAAUUGUUCUUGUUUUGUGUUAAAACAGCCUGCAACAGAAAUUCUGAAACUCUUUCACCGCUUCAAUUUUCAAAGUCCAAAAGCAGGUUUGAGGAAAAUGUGCUUGGAAGACAAAACCGAACGUGUCUCUAAUAAUUCAAAGUUGUACUGGGAUCCCACCAUGUGGGUACUUGUGGGACAAAGGGAUUAUUCACGAGUCCCUACCGAAAAGCAGAAGAAAAUUCCUAGAAACUCAAAACCUCCAAAAACAGGGAGACUCAGCUUGGAAUUAUGAGUCCCUGAUUGAAAUCGUACGAAUUCAAAGGACGGAGUACGGAUUUUCUAACCUUUCUCCUAACUGAAAGAGGGAGCACCCCACCAAGAUUAAGCUGUUAGGAUACUUUUCUCUCUUGAUCCCCCUCACUUUGACCCCUAAAAUAUCCACCCAUCACAAGGAAAAGAAAAAAAUUUCCAAGGGGGGACCCUAAGAUGGUGAUCACCAGAACAGUAUCGACCAGAAGUUAGGUCUUGGAGAGGGGUUGCAAACAACAGUCCAGCCACGAUGUUUCCUCCAUCCAAAAAGUCAAUAAUGAGCUAAACCGACCUACAAGGUAAACAAACAUUAAACAAUAAUGUACCACCACCCUCGCACUGUACUAACAAAAACCCAGAGGAAGUUUCUGUUCAAGACCCCAUUCCUGGAAUGUCUUCUUCAACUUUUGACAUGAACUUAAUGGAUUGGCAUCAAACCAGUACAAAAUUCAGAUAUGAAAUUGCCCUGCUCCUCUACUAAGACCAUUUGACUUCAACCUCAAAUUCCAAAACAGAGUGUUCAUAAUUAUGUUCUAAAACCCAAGAAUGGUUAGAAUAUUCCAUGGAACUAUAUGAACAAGUGCCACUAAAAAAUCAAAGCAGAAGUAUAAUAAGAUUCAUGGAUGAUUAUAAUUAGCAAGUAGGCAGUUGAAGUGGUAGUUAAAACUUACCCUAUGAAGUAUUCUGAAACUGAACCGGAUAAAAUUCGGCCGAAAAAUCCCCAAAUGCUUGUGAGGGAGACGAAAAUGGAGACAUCCACGUAGCCGAGAGCUAGACCCAUUUGUCCCAUGUUAUUCAUAACAGCCAAACCAGUGCCAACUCCACAGAGGAAGGAUGCAAAGAGUAUCCAGAAAUCAGUGGUGCUGAUUGCUUCAAUAAUUGUGUGAUCCUCCCCAAUUGACGGCCGGGGUCGUUUGAUUUCCACCACAGGCUCCACCUUUUCCUCCGAUGCCGGAGCCGCCAUUUCCGGCUGACUGUUUUGACUCAGGAGGGUUUCGGUGAUUAGACCCUCGAUGUCGGAACUGGGUUUUGAACCGGACCGGUUAAAAUCCUGUAGCAUGAAAUAGAGAGGGAUUGAGAGAGGGCAAGCCAGGAGGAAGAGCAGGACGACGGCGAAUGCCUGAGAGAGGAUGCGGCUAUGGGAGCCGGUGACGUCGAAGGUGAGGAGAUAGACGGCGAGGACGACGGCGACGAUGUUGAAGAGGUUGAAGAAUUUGGUCUCUUCCUUCUCGCCGGCUGCGGUGGACGACGAAGGGACCUCGCGGAGGAAGAGAAUAGCGGAGAGGCAGACAAGAAGGGGGAUGAUGGCGAGCAUGAGGAGGAAGAUGGCGGGGUCGUCGGCAAAGAGAGCAGUGCAGAGGUCAGUGAAAAUGGCGGUGCUCAGACCCACGUAACCCUUCAAUAUUCCGGAGACCGGACCUCGAUUCGUCCGGAAGUUUCGGAUGCAUGUCACCAGAACCGCCGUGUUCAUCCAUGUCGUACUGUUGCCUCCCAUGCAUAGAAAUAUACACAUCUGCAACACAUACUCAUCUCUCUAUUAGUAUUUCGAAAUCAUUUUUCUUGCUUUUUAAAGCAGAAACAUCAACCUAUCUAAUACUAAUUUUUAGCUUUAAAAGUCCAUCAGAAGGAAUUAUCAAAGCAAAGCUUGCUUUGCCUUGUCCAAACAAGGACUCAUCGAAGAACUUUCUUGCUUCUGAAAACAGAGUCUGAUUUCUGAAAGCAAAAAGCACUUCCAAAAUUCUAUCAACAAAAACCCAAAAUUCAUUUGAAAAGCUUCUGGUGUUUUCCCAAAUGCUUUAAAUGCACUUUCUCAAAAUGCCCACCUGCCAAUAGGGAAGCGGCUGGAUUUUCCGGCUGACGACCAGCCAUUGAACCCCAUACCCGACAAGCCCUUCAAUCGACCCAAUAAGAAGCAUCAUCGGAGUGGACAACCGGUCGGAGGCGAGACCGGAGAGGAGGCCAAACGCCUUGCCCACAUCCUUGGCAACAGAGAGGUUGUUGAGUUGCAACUGGGUGAGAGCCAUUAACGAUUUGAGAGCAUCUGAGUAGUUGGAAAAAGUGUAGUUGUUGCCGGAGAUGGACUGAACCCAAACGGCCGUCACAAACCCCAGCCAUUUUCUGGAGGAGGACGCUGGAGAUAGGUGGAAGCCCAUUGUUGCGGAUUCCUACAAUCUACCAGUCUCGCGGAGAAGGAGGUUGCAGAUGAUUGAAGGAGGAAGUUGAAUUGAACGGUCGGUGGCGUUGAAACGCAGCGUUUCGUAUUUAUGUUAGAUUUUGGGUGAAUGGAAUAUUCGAAUUUUGAUUGGUGACUGCAUCCUCCACCGCGACACAUAGAAUUUUUAUUUUUUUUCGUUUUGUUUUUUAGAAAAAAAUAAAAAAACAAAAUAAGUAAAUAAUAUAUCUGAAAAAAGGUUAGAAAAUGUACAAAUUCUUAAUUAAUAUAGAUUGUUCUUUCUAACAAAAAUAUUGUAUAAAAUAUUUUAUUAUAAUAUUAGAUUUCUUGCAAUAAAUACAAAUUAUUGAAAAUAUUUCUAUAAAUAUUAUAAAUUAUAAGAAAAAAAAAGAAGAUAAAAACGACUUUUAGAGAUUAUAAUAGAUAGAAUUGUGAGAAAUAUCGGCACAUGUAGUGAAAAGAUUUUCUUUCAUCAAUCAAAGUCAUGUUAAAUAUUUGAAAGAGUUGUAAGGAAAGCUGUUGAAAAUACGAGUAGAAAAGGUCUUGAGAUGAAGUUGUAGAGAAAAUAGAUAUAAAUAGAGAUGUGAGAAAUAACAGGAGAUGCCGAUGGAGUCGGACUCGUAGUUUAAGGUUUGAAUAUAAAUAAUCGGGAAACACGGGAUAUUUGAGAACUUAUAUAAUUUUAUCAUUUAUAAUUUUUUUAUAUAGCAUACUUAAAUAAGCCAUGUUAAAACCUUAUAUAUAUUUUUAUUUAAGUGAUCAAACUAUCACAUCAAUUUAAUGUUAAAAAAAAUUAUUAUAAAAAAUUAUCCUUAUUUGAUUAACCGAAUAAAUAGAAAGAUUUUUUUAGUUUUAAUAACUUUAAUUAUAUAAACCAAUAAUAAAAAGGAUAAUUAAAUAUUGAUUUUCCUAAUCAAUUUAAUAAUUUUUUAAAAUAAUCCCUUUUUAUAAGGUAGAUUGUAUUUAAUUUAAUAUAUAUAUAUUAUAUGAAAAUGAAUAUUAUGGAUUUUUGAAUUUUUAUAUUUGAAUAAAAUAUAUAAAAGUAGAACUUUGCUUAUAAAAAAUUAUUUCCUGCAAAUAAAAUAAAUAAUAAUAAUUGUAAUAUUACGGCAUUAUAAGGUUGCUGAGAAAGUUGGCGCCAGGUAUUCAAUAACUAGACGUUUCCUCCAUAUCAAUUUCUUCAAUCUUUUUCUCGAGAAAACUGUUUGCCGGGAAAACCGAAAGUAAAGGGCAGAGACUUUUCUUGGUGUAGCCGACAAGCCACCCAUUGGUUUUGAAAUGACGUUUUUCCGGCACGCGCAAACGCACCCCCACAAGUUUUGUAGUUGGUAUAUGGAACGGAAUUCAAUGGAAACGACACCCAUAUGUUUCGUAGUUUGCCCACCAAAUUAAACUGUCAUGUUUUACAAAUGUUUUUAAUAAUAAUAAUAAUAAUAUUAUGACCGACUCCCCUAAAAUCAAUUACUAUUAAAAAAAAGACACAUAUCGUAGUCUUAUAACGUAUUCAUCCAAGCAUCUAUGUCGAAUACUAGGGAAGUUGAUGGACACAGCUCUGAUACCAUUUAUAGAACUUCAGAUGCUAUCAACUCUCUUAAAAGCAAUUGCUGUUAGAAAAUGAACAUACCCUAAGUAUUUAUCAAAAUUUUCACAACGAACACAAAGAGAGUUGAUGGGAUAUGGUCAACCUUACGUGAACAAUUAUUAUUAUUAUUAUUAUUAUUUCAACUAAGAAAUCAAUAUUUUGAAUAUGGAAAGAAUUAUUAUAGUUUUAUGGAAGUGUUAAAAAAAAAAGACACUAUAAAAUAGACUCACCUUUGAACUCUUAAAAAAAUGAAAGGAAAAAGACAAUAAUUAGUAUCAUAUUUGGUUUAAUUUUCUUUCUCGAGUUUGUUUUUAAAAGUUUUAAGGGGAAAAAAUAAUUAAACAAGUUAAGAAAAGAUAAAUAAAUAAAUUUAAAUUUGAUAAAUUAUAUUUAUAUGUUUUUUAAAACUUUUUAAACUUUUAUAUAUAUAUAUAUAUAUAUAUAAAUUAAAUGAUUUAAAAAUAUACAAACUUCUAAAUAAUUUAAAAUGUAUAUUUUAUGAUAAACUAAACAAAAACGCUUUCUUAAUGCACUUGAACAAUCAAACAAGAGUAAUUUUUUGAAAUUUUUUUCUUGAAGAACCAAAUAUAGUUGUAAACUUAUUAUAAGUGAUAUUUUAGAUUUAAAAAAUUGUUUCUUAAAUUUUAUCAAACACCCUUUAAAUAAAAAAAUAUUUUUAGAUUAAAAAUAUUUUUUAAAAUCAAUAUCAAAUAGACUUUUAAUAAUAUAAUUUUCUAAAAUAAAAUCAUAUUAACAAAAUAAUUAUAAUUGAGUUUUAAGUAAAAGAUGAGUUCAUUGUAUAAAAAAAAAAAUCAUAUUUUCAAAAGAUGAAUUCAACAUACAAACUUUUAGGUUGUAAAGUGAAUUCGUCUUUUUAAAAGACGAAUUAGUAUCAUAAAUUUAGUAUCAUAUUUUGUAUUUAUUUUUUAAAUAAUUAUUUUUUAAUAAUAUUUAAAAAAAAAAAAAAAAAAAAAAGGCCCCAUGCUAAAUAGCCAAAAUUGAAUUUUGUCCAUUUUUGAUACCCUGUGAUUUGGUGUUUUACAUAUAAAUGCGUGUCCUUGAUAGAUAACCACUUGGUCUUAUCUCUAUCGCCAACUUUUCUUGACCAAACACGUCCUCUUUCUCACCAGACCCAUCGCCCAUCAUGGUCUCCAUCGAAAUUUAAUCUUGAGCUUAAGGUCUCUCACCAGACCCAUCAUGGUCUCCAUCAAAAUUUAAUCUUGAUCUUGAGGGCUCAACCUCUUGAGAGUGAUACGAAAGUGCUCUGAUUUUCCGGGAAUCCAAUCACCAAAUUGGAAAAAAUUUCUGGGUUAUGGCGGGGUUGAAGGCAACUUAUCAAAGCUCCUAGCGGGUGGGCCUGGACAGGAAGAUGUCCCAUUCAGAAUGUCCUGUUCGAUUGCUUAUCAACAUCUCAAUAUCCAGAAGUAUCUAUCAAUAUGUACGGCUUUUGUCUUGGAUUUGAUUUAGAGGAGACAGGGUGAUCUCUUUCCUGUGGGUGGUGGGCCUUUGUUUUUAUUUUUUUGUAAGUCUUGGAAAAUGAGGAUUUAUAUCUGCUAUGAUUUUUUGAUGGGUAAAAAAUAAAAAUUACUUAAUAUAAGAGCUUUAAUAAUUCAACAUUAAUUCAUUUUCUAAACUCAAGUGCAUUAACUAAGCUUAGAUUAUCGAGAAUAUACAAAUUCACCUCACCUAAAUUCAUCUCAUCUCAAAAUGAAGAUCAUGAAAAGAGACGACCUCCAAACUUACAUAUUAACCUAAUUGAUCGAUCUACAACUAAAAAGUAAUAUUCAACUACCCUUGUCCUCACAUGAUUGAAGGUGAAUAAAAAAUUUGCAUCAACAACAAAUAAAUGAUUUAUAUAAAGCCCUUAUCGUGAAGUAUGAAGUAAUUUUAUAACUCUUGCUUCUAAUCACUUGGAUAAGAGCAUUAACAAUUCAACAUCAAUUCAUUUUUUAAACUUAAGUGCAUUAAUUAAGUUUAGAUUAAUGAGAGUACACAAAUUCAUCUCACCGCAAAAUAAGGAUCAUGAAGAGAGACGACCUCCAAACUUACAUAUUGACCUAAAAUUGCUCUUGUCCUUACAUGCCCAAAGUUUUAUCAGAAAGAUUGCAACAACAACAGAGCAGUAGCUUAGAUAAAGCCCUCGUUAUGAAGGAAUGAAUUGCUCCAUAACUCUUACAAUCACUUAAAAAUUUGUGUAAAAUUUCUCAUAGAGGUUCUUCCUUUGUAGGAAAUUCCUCUUUGAAGUUAAGAGGGAACCAAGAAGAGGUAGAAUAAAAUUUCAGAAGAAUUUUGGCUUCUUCGAUUCGUGUUUUGGGAUGUUUUUGUUUUGAGUCUUAUGAGAAAACAUGUGGAGAAAAAAAGUGAUAAGCACUGAGUCAGAGUGGGCAACAAUCGAGGCAUGGAUUUGGCCCGGGCCGAAUGAAGACAUAAACAGCUCAGCUGAGAGCCUGAGAGCUGCAUGUGCUUUUGAAUGUGUCUGAUAGUGUGAUUUUUGGCACGCUCUUCAGCUAUUCAGAUUUCAGCCUGAUGCUAGUGUCAUUGAGGUACGGGUUGGCUCAAAAUUGUAUAAUAUAAUUGCCUUUUUGAUGGACUUCAAUGAUUGCACUACUAAACUUAGGUGUGGUUGUAGUAAAUUUUUUUAAGUAGUUUUUAAAAAUUUUAAAAUACUUUUUAAAACAAUAAAUUGAUUUUAGAAGAAAAAUAUUUUAGUCUAUCUUACAAAAUGGUAUCAGGCUUAUGCAUAAUAAAUUCCUCUAGAUUUAAUUAGAUUAUGUUUAUUAACUUUUUUUUUAUAAAAAAAAUAGGAUUUUCUUUAUAAAAAAAAAAACACAUUUAGUAACUAGUAAAUAAAAAUAGUAUUUUAUUCUUAUGUUUUCAAAAGAAUUUAUUUUUUAUUUUUAGUUGUUUUCACUUAUUUUUUAAAAUAAUUAUACAAUUUUUAAAAAUAAUUUAAAAUAGAGCAUUAAGUAUAAAAGUUAUUUUCUAAAAUACAUUUAAAAACAUAAAAAAAUAUAAUGAAAAUAUUUCAAAUUCCUAAAUAGACUUUUGUUUUAUAAAAUAUUAAAGAAUAAUUUUCAAAAACUGUAGUUGAAGACAAUCAACAAAAACAUCUUAAAAUUAUUUUAAAUGUAUUUUCAUAUAUCACACUAUUUUCAUAACAAAUUUUUAAAAACCUAUUUUUAUUUCAAAAUUUAUCAAAUGUGUUUUUGAAAUCAUAAAAAAUGAACAACAAAACAAUAUUUGUAAAAAUAAGUUGAUAAACAUGCCAUCAACACCAACAAGGAAAAAGGAAUAUUAAUUAUAUUCAUACAAAUCAUAUCAACAUUUUUUAAAAUAUUAAUAAUAUUUAAAAUAACAUUAAUCCUAUAUCCCACUUGCCCACUAAUUAAUGUCUGCACUUAUGUAAUCUUGAGGAUUAUUCAAGUGGGUAUUCAUAUUAAACAUCAAACCCAUGUGUCAAAGACAUUGUUAAUUGGGAAAAUUAGAUAUUUUCCCUUUAAUAUAAUGACAUUAAUGAGAAAGAGUCACGAAACAGAUCAUUCUUUUAGACUAUGGGCGCACUCAGGUAUGUCUGCAUCCCACUGUCGGCCCAACUUCUUUUUUCACAAUGAAAAUGACCCCCCAAAAAAAUCAACGGUCGGAAAUUAUUUUUGGUGUUUGUUUGGUAGGUGGAAGUCAAUUGCUUUGAUUUACUCUCAAACCUGACGGUGGUUUGCUUUGAACAACUUUGUAUUCAAUUGACUACGAUUUUAAGAAUAGUUGUUAAAAAACAUUUUUUUUGUUUUAGGAAACAACAACUUAUUAUAUUUGAAAUGAGGUUGUUUUUGAAAGUAACAUGUUUUAAAAAUAGUUUUAAAUAAUAAAAAGUUGUCAUUGAAAGCUAUUUUUUGAUAUAUAAAAAAAAAAAAAAAAUUUUAAGAACAUUUUUUAUGCAUUUCCUUUACCCGAAUGACUAUUGAUUUUUGUCUGUUUCGAAAAAUGUUUAUGCGCUUAGAUUUGGUUUAAUUGCUUGUAACUAUGGGAGAAUAUGAAAUUUUGGUGGUGUCAAAAUAGUUAAAUAAGUUGAUUUAAUAAUUUAAUUUAUAUUAUUAAAUAGGUUUGAUAAAAUAUUUUCAUAUUACAACUCUAAGUUAAAAAAUGAUUUAAAAUAAUGAUAAAAAUAAUUCAUCUCAAAUACAAAAAAUUAGGAUUUUCGAUAUUCAUAUUAAACAAAAUAUUUAUUUAUUCUUAUCACAUAUAGAUUAAAUAAAAAUAAAUUUAUCCUAUGUGGACCCCGUAUUUCUACACAUGCGUUUUAACUCGAUGACGAACUUGCUAAUGAUUUGGAAUUGAAACGAGAUGAAAGUCCCUGGAAGGGAAAUCACUGGGCCGGAGGAUCAAAACUGGGCUUAGGCCUCCAAAGUUGUCUAGCCCAAAAUUACAUUUUGAUCUGGUACUUCAAAGAGUAGAAUAAUCCAUCCACAAAUCUGACUUCCAGCCAUCAAAUCUAAUGACUUUUUAAAAUUUCCAGAGAUCCUGAGAUUAAUGGCUCUGCAAACACUGCAACCAACAACUACUGACAGUGGCGUUUCGGAUGGGGUGUAGAGAGUGAGGGAUCCUUGUUGAUGGUUGAUCGGAGAGCAGGCGGCGAAGGAUGCGUCGAGAAAUUUCGAUUUUGCUUCAGCCACGAUGGAUUCUUCCCAUUCUCAUCGCCACUAUUUUACUCAUUCUUUUCCUGUCCGUUUACCCUAGGGUAAUUUUCUGACAACCCAUUCUGUUUGGAUGCUGAGAAAAGGUCCGAAAAAUGGAGACCCACUGCGAUUUUUGGGUUUUUGUUUUUGGGAUCUUUUCCCAGAAAGCUAUAGAUUGUUUCGGUUAUGCUGAAUUGGUGUGUUUUUUUUCGCUUUUUUAAGUAUUGGAAAAGUCAAGAUUCGGAAAUUUGGUUGCUUUUAUUUUCCUCCCCAAUUUUCUCAGCAGCUAGAGGGUUCAUGUUUGCGUGUGUGUUCUUUUCUUUUUUGCUUUUGGUAUGGUGGGUAGAUUUGGUGAAGUAAUUUGGGGUUGUGGUUGACUUGGGAUUUGAUUUUUCCAAUGUGGCGAUUUAUUAAUGAUUUUGCGGUCUCAAAUAAUGGAAAAUCUAAAAUGUGGAGCUUUAUUUUCCUGCAUUUCUCAGCAACCAAAUGGGGUGUAGAUAUAUGUUUCUGUGAAAUGGUUUGUUCUUCUUGUUCAUUUAGGGAGGUGCGCAUUUUCUUCUUCUUUUUAUUGUGGUUGUAAAUUUGAUGAAGAAUCGUGGGAAUUCUGAAGUGAUUUGGGUUUCUCUCUUUAGAUUUGGUUUUCUAAAUAUAGGAAUGGAUGUUGCGUGGAUCAGAUUUGUCACUUUGUGAUGGGAGUUUGGCUGAUAGUGACAGUAUCUGAUUUUGUGUGGGCUAUUGGGGACUUUAAGGGAUUAUGUGGAUUUUGUUUUAUGCUAGUGAAUGCUCUGAUCCGGGUUCAACAAUAAAACUAGAAUCUAUGACUCUAUGAGAUUCUCUAGGAAAUCAUCAUUACAACUUUAAAAGAUGACAACCAAUUAUGUUUCAUUAUUAUUGUUGUCACAGAUGGUUGCUCUGUAAGUUUUAAGUUAAGAAGAUGCUAUUGAUAAGGUACAAGUGAGGAAAGAUGGCUUGUUAUAUUUGAAGUUGUUUUUUUAUUCAUCUAGUAUUACGUGUUUAAGGAGAUGACUUAUAGAAUUGUGGAGUGCCUUUUAGGGAGAGAUGUGAUUGAUUUACCAUGUUUCUAAAUUGUUUUGUUACAAUAAUGUGCCUUCUGACACAAAAACGGGUACUGGAACUCUCAGCAUUGCAUGCAAGAUAUUAUAAGAUAUGUUUGUUUGAGUUUCAUGUUGAUGGAAUACACAAUUUGCUCAGUAAAUAGCUAGAAAAAUUAAUUAGAUGAGGAAAAGAUGUCAAGUAGUUGGUUUAAGGUGGAAAAGAUCAGUCGGAGAUUAUGAGCUAUCGAGUUUGUUUGGGAUAAGUAACAUUCAGAGUGCUUUAAUGGGGAUGGGUCUUGGUAAGUUUGUUUUGGAACUUCUGUUGCUACUGAGGUGAGCAAUUGUGAUCAGUAUAAUACAAGCAAAGUGAGUAUCAAGGACACUAACCCUCAAAGAACAUUGAUUAAAAUCUCAUGCUGGAGAUGGACGAUGGCUUUGGUGAUUUUUCUUCCAAUCUGGAGUUAAGUACAGUCAUGGUUGUUUGCACUUUCCUAAGAUUUGAUGAGUAUUGAAUUCUCUGAGGCAGGUAUUUGGAGGUCAUUGGGUGGAAAGCGGUUACUGAGUUAUAGUCUUCUACCACUUUUGAUGUAGCAACUCAUGUUGAAAUCCCAACCCUAGUUGAUCAGAAAAUGUUAUCACAAAAUUUGUCCAGAAGGUCAAAUUCAGUCUGCUAUGAAACAACGUAUUUGGAUUUUAGUUGAGUAAUGCAGGAGAAGUCAAGCAUAUGGAUGUAGUCUUUUAUGGGUUAAUUGUGAAUGUCUUGUUUGAUUAUGAUUUUAGUUUCUAUUUUCUUCAUGGUUUGUUACUUUCUCUGCAAAACCAUGGUUUUCAUCGACUUUUGGACUGAAAAUUAGUUAGAUUUGGUGUUUUAGCGUUUUAACUUUCAGAAACUGGAUUAGAGCUGCUUGCAUGGCUUUGAGAAAUAUACUCAAUAUUGAAGAAAUUUAUUUGUAUUUGUCUUUUCACUUGGUGAUGGUUCAGAGGGUUGGGAGCUUGUGGAUUGCUUUUAUUUGGUUUUAUAUAGUAGCUUCUGGUGAUGUAUGUGCAUCAUGAAAAACAUAAUGAAGUUCAUUUUUCACACAUAAUCAUGGCAGUGGCUGUUCGAUUUUUCCUCUUCAUAAAAGCGUUUUAGGAUCAUGAGUUGCCUCCUUUCAAAGAAAAGAGGUUUUAGUUCUUGUUCUAUGAUUUCUUUUUCUGAUAAUUACAUUGAUCUACAUUUUUUCCUUUUUAUUUGGUUGGUGUAACGUCUGAUGACUAAAUCUCCAUGUUUGAGAUUCUUGUUCUUAAUCUGACUGCAAUUUUUUGGUGAUAAUACUCCCAUAAAGAUGCAUCUUUCCUUUUUAUCAAUUACCUGCAAUUGUAUUGAUUUACUUACUCAAAUUUGAUGCUAGGGGGAAGAGACGGCAGAAGAGGUGCCUGAAAUUACUCACAGAGUGUUCUUGGAUAUCGAUAUUGAUGAACAACAUAUAGGUACAGAUUCACACCUAAUAGCAUUGAAUAAAUUGUGCAGUUAAUAAACUUGUUGAAGAAGGUUUUUUUCCUCUGAUUUUCAUAUAAACUUGGCCAUAGUUUCUCAAAUCUAUAUCUUCUCUGGUCAAUUUGAAGAAAACUUUGAGUUUUUUUGCAUCCAAUUGGAUGAUAUCUCCUUGAACAGUCAGUAGUUGACCUUGAACCUAGUCUCUCUCUCUUUCUUUUUUUCUUCAUACAGUUUAAUUUCUUUUGUUUUUUCCCCUCUAUUUUGGUAUGCAGCCUCAUUUAUGGCAUUAUUUGCAAGGAUUUCAUAAAAUUUCUGCUUUUCAGCAAUUUGAUCCCACCUAUAAUAGUUAUUGUGGUACUUGGGUCAACCUACUGACUUGUUCACAAGAGAGCUACAUAGCAUUCUGUUUGGUAGAGAUCCAAGGCCACAGUUUAUUUCAAGAUCACUCGGUGCUGUGGAGUAUUUAACUCAUUUUAAGGCAUCUACAUAGAAUAGUAAAAAAUUCAGAAGCAUUAUGGAUACUCCUUGACAAAGUUGAAAUUGUACUCCCCAUCUUUCUUUGUCAGCACACCUGUUGGUUAUAUAUCCAAUAGGAUGCAACCUGUGUCUUAUACAUAUAACUAUCAUGCAUCAUGUUAACAAAUGCAAUUUGCUCAUUUUGAUGUGUCUUUGUACAUGGCUAGUAUUUGAAAGUUGUGUGUUCUUUCUCCCUUUCCUUUUGUGUUCCCUUUCCUUACUUCAUCUUAUCAUUUCAAUUUUAGUUAGUCCAGGUUUGGAGUCACGUUUUCUAUCCUUCAAUGGUUGAUUUAGUAAUGGGUCUGUGGGUGGGUGGACUAGGGCUGUUCAAUGUUAUUUAUUACCAGAUAGUCCUUUUUCCAAUUUUGACCCACUUAAUUACUUUUUAUUCCAUUGAUGAAUAUAUAAUGUUCCUAUAUUUCAUCUGUUUUUUCCCUAUUUGUUAUUGAUUUUUAAUUUUACACCUGAGUUUCUGCAGGUAGAAUAGUUAUUGGUCUGUAUGGCAAUGUUGUACCAAAAACUGCUGGUAUGUGUUUGAUCUUCUUUAUGAAUACUUUAAUGUCAGGAUCCUGAAACUAGGUCAUCUAUUUCAAAAUGUAUAUUCGUUUUUCUCUUAAUAAUGGUUGUAAUCUAUUACUUCUUAACUGGUGCUUCAAGUUGAUUCUUAUUAUUCAAAUAAUAUUAGGUGUACAUUUACUGUCUUAAACAAAUUAUGUUUACAUAAUUAUAUCUUGAGUCUCAAUUGCUUUUGAAAACAUUGUGCUUGUUUUUAAACAAACACCCAAAAUUGGGAGAAAACCUUUGUUCAUUCUAUUUAAACUUUUCUUUAUGUUGCACACUGAAUGUGCCCAUUGACCAUGACUGCCUUUUUUUUUUUUGUCAAUAUUUGAUUUCUUCUUUGAAGCUGUAUAAUUACUGAUUGACAUCUUGUGCUGAGAAAAAUUUGAAUUUCAGAUGAUGCUUAAUAGUCUAUUUCUUCAUAAAGAAUUGUUGGUAUUUGUUUGAUUUAUUCACGUGUCUCAUAUUUGCCUAAUGCUUGAGUUUUUUGUUAGCAGAAAACUUCCGGGCUUUGUGCACAGGUACUUUUAGACCAUUCUUCUCAACAAUUUCUUAUGUUUCUUGAAUGUUUAGAAAUCUCAUACUAUUGAAGGAGGCAGAUUUUAUUAUUAAUAUGCUGGUAAUGACCUUGUUAUUUCAAUGCAGGGGAGAAGGGCAAAGGUGCCAGUGGAAAAAAGCUUCAUUAUAAGGGGACACCAUUUCAUCGUAUAAUAUCCGGAUUCAUGAUCCAGGGUGGAGAUACUGUCCAUGGCGAUGGGAGAGGGAGUGAGUCUAUAUAUGGUGGCACAUUUCGAGAUGAGAAUUUCAGGAUAAAACAUUCACAUGCAGGUUCUCUAUUACAUCUCUUUAUUUGGUUGAUUUUUUCUUCUGGUUUCUUGUAUACUCCCUAGACAAAUUCUCUUUAAAAGUUUUCAUAGGGAUUCAAAAUUUUCAAGAUUGAGUUUGUUCCUUUCUCCCUUCCUCUUUGUGAAACCAUAUAUUGCUUGGUUGUAGGUGUUGUUUCCAUGGUGAAUUCAGGACCUGAUUCUAAUGGCUCUCAGUUUUUCAUCACCACAGUCAAGGCUAGCUGGUAAGCUACUCCAUAGAAUCACCAAAACACUGGAAAAUUUUAGCCAUUAUAAUGGCGGCCUGAGCUGGAAGAUGAUUUCCUAAGAAACACAACCUACUCUAUCUUCCAAGUAAUGAGUCCUUUCAUUAAGCAUUUUUUUAUUAAGCAUCCAUCCUGAGCCAUCCACUCUCACUGUGAUAAUACUGAUGCAAUCAGAUCAAUCUGAUUACAGUGAGGUGUGUGAUUUGCUACUGACCAUGAUGCAUAAGAUAUACUCUGCUAGAGCUAAAAUGUCUUUAAAACCUGAAUCUAAUUAUAAAUUACUCUGUGUCUAUAAGUGCCCUAAUUCCAAGGAGUCUGUCUACAAAGCUAAGGAUAAUUGCCAAACAUUUUGUGGGUGUUGCAUUACCUCCAUAUUUUAGUCACACAUGAACAUGCCAAUCAUUGACCUGGAUUGACAUUCUCCUUAGUGUGAGGCUAAUUUCAGAUCUGAUCAUGCUGCACUAUUGAUAUAAAUGUUUUGGGGUCUGAAAAUCGAUGCUUUGGGUCAAUACAUGUUGCUCCAUGCUCUAGAUAUGAAACUUCUGCGUACAAGUUAAUGAUCUACAUGUAGAUGUUCCUUACCAGUAAAAGAAUAUCCAUUUAAAACUUGGCAGGUUGGAUGGGGAGCAUGUUGUAUUGGGCAAGGUUAUUCAAGGCAUGGACAUUGUCUACACAAUAGAAGGUGGAGCUGGAACCUACAAUGGAAAACCCAGGAAGAAGGUCGUUAUCUCAGACUCGGGCGAGAUACCCAAGAGCGAUUGGGAAGAAGAAAGCUGAUGCUCAUCAAAUGCUCUCUUGGGUCUGCAAUAGAUCAAGUUUUCAGAAUUUUUGGUGAUUAUUUUGCAUUUUGUUCCUCUGUAUCAUGUUGAUGAAACAAUGCUGAUCAUCAUUUAUUGUGAUCAUGAACUCAGGGAUCAGUGUCUUAGACAUUUUGUAUAUAUGUGUAUUUUUUUAAAAAAUUUUGAUUGUGACUAACAAUGUAGAGGAAUGAAAGAAAAUGAUUCUAUUUUGGAAGCAAUUGUGUGAGGACAAAAGCUAGAGGGAAUGUAGAAGUUUUGGACAUGGUUUUCUUUUAUGGACCUACAUGGAAAACUUUGAGCUUUUGAGAUUUUUUCUUGGAGUGGGGCUGGCUUAUGUAUUACCUCCUUUUGCAUCACUCAGCUUUGUCUAUGUGAUGAUUCUAUACAUCCUAUGUAUAUGGGUUGUGCUCUUUUUGGGUCUUUCAUAUUGAAAGUCUUGAAGGAUUUUUGUUAGUAGCAUUUUCAUUGAAAAUUUGUUUUUGGUAAUGUAAUAUGUAAUAAAUAUACUAAAUGUGAAUAAGAAUGAAGAUAGAUUUUUAAGUGAGAAGUCAUGUUUGGAUUUUGGAAAAAUCAAAGGGAAAUGUAAAAGGAAAAUUAUAAAGACUAAAAAGGAAGUGAAGGAAAAUAAAAAAAAGGAAAAUUAAAAUAUUAUUUUUAUAUUUUAAAAUACCCAUUUCAUUUUUUUUCUCUCUUUUAUAUGAAGAUAAAAUAAUUUAUUUAGUAAAUAAAUAAUAAUAUUUUUUUUCCUUGAAAAGAAAGGUGAGUAUUUACUAUUUCUACCACGUGAUUGUAAAAAAUGGUGGUGGUGUGAGGCAUUGGGCUGGGCUUAGAGACAAUUAUUUAAAUUAACAAUGUGGCCCAUUGGGCUGGCAUGCUGAGGUGGCAGAUUGAAACAAGAAAAAAAAUAUACAGAAAGAAAAUGGAAGCCGAGAGCAUCUCAAUUAUUCUAACCCCCAUCUGCAGCUCGGGCAACACAGUCAACCAAUGAUUCGAUCACAACCACCGCCACCACCAUCUCCGCCACUGCGGCCCCAGAAUCCCCUUUUGUUUCUUCUCUAAACCCACCUUUUUCUCCCCUCGCUCUUCCUUUCUCUCUCUAGGAUGGGUAGCUCUGAAGAACCCGACAGGACUAGUCUCCUCCAUGACUCUUCAUCUCCGACUCACCCUCUCCUCUCCAAAUCCUACCCUUCACCCUCAAUUUCAGAACCUCAGCCUGAAUCCUCCGAACCUGACCAGACCCAGUUCCUCCAGAUCUCCUACAAUUACGGGCCUAGACCCUUCAAGGACCUCCCCUUUCUCAUCCUCUUUCUGGUCGUCGUUCUCUGCACUUUCGGCUUUGGCAUCUUCGCAGUUGUGAAUCGGAACCCCAAUUCUUCCAGCGUUUCUUCUUAUUCUUAUGACUCCAGUUCCACUUCUUGUGUCAAGAACUCCACUGCCUCGCUGAAGCAACAACCCAUUUCGGAUUACUUGAAACUUUCGUCGAGUUCGCAUUUCUUGAAGGAUUUGAUAUGGACCCUUGUAGUUACUUUGAUUUUGAGCAUACCCUUUUCUUGGCUUCUUCUUUUGUCGCUCAAGAAUUACACCAAACAAGUGGUCUACGCCUCGCUUCCCUUCUUUGUUGUGAUGCCCAUUUUCUUUGAUGUGUAUUGGUUUGUGGCUUGUACUGUUAGCUCGAGUUGCAGCGAGGCGUUUCCUUUGGUGUAUAGGAUUUUGUUGCUUGUGUUUGUGUUUUUGUUUAUUGGGGUGAUCGUGUGGAUAAUUGUGGCCAACUGGCAUAGAAUUGAAUUGACUGUGGAUAUAAUUGGGAUUGCCUCCCAUUCGCUAUCGAGGAAUUUGGGGCUGUUUGUGGUUCUUCCAUGUUUGACUUUCAGUUUGGUGAUUUACUAUGCUCCGAUAGUUGUGUUUUUGGUGUUUGCGAGGUUGAAUGGGAAGAUUGUGCCGCGGGAAUCCAGUGGAGAGUAUUAUUGUGUUUGGAAGCAGGAUAGUUGGGUGCCUGCAUAUUAUACAUUGGCAAUUCUAACAAUGUUGUGGUCUGCAACAGCUAUGGUGGAGCUGCAGGUUUAUGUGAUUAGUGGGACUAUUGCACAGUGGUACUUUGCAAAGGAUCACGAUUCCACCCCAAAGAGGAGUAUAAGAAGUUCUUUGAGGUGAUUUACAGUUUUUUUUUUUUUUUUUAUUUGUGUAAUUUAUCCAUAUUUUAUAUGCAGUUUUUGUAAACCUUGGAAGAAACUUGUGAUCAUUCUUGCAUGCAGUAUUUAUUUAUGACUAGUUUCAAGGAUUCAAAAGCAUGUUUAAAGUAUAAAUAUUGAAUGUGUAUGUGUGUUUUUAGGAAGUUAAACAUUGAUACCAUAUGAAUUUUAAGGAGAUUAAAUGAAUUCUCAUUAUUGAUUCUCCUGAUUUUUGUGUUGUCACUCUUUGUUUGAUGAAUUGAAAAUUCAUGUCUUAUAGGUUAGUUUUUUAUAGGGUCGUGUUCUAACAGAGGAGGAAGUGAGGUUGUGUCAAGAAGAUUCAUGGAAACAACUAGGUCAAGUUAGAAGUAUGGAGUGAGAAUUCAUUUUUAAAGGAGUUUAAGAGAACGAGAACAAGAGAAAAAUUAGAUGAAUAUAACUUUUGUGGAACUAGGAGAACCAACAUAGGCAUAGUAAAGAUUGUGGGGUAGAAUUCACCUUAUGGUGAAGAUGAUAGGAAGAAUUGAAUUAGAAAUGAAUGUUCUCAUGAAUAGUUUGAGAUUUCACCAACUGUUUAGAGAUGAUUGAGAGUUUGUUUGAGAUGGAUUGAACAAUAUAAAGAAAGGUCAAUAAUUGCAUUAGUUUGGGUUGCUAUUGUUUAAGUUACAGGCACUAAAAGGACAAGAGAAGAGCAAAAAUAAUUUGGGCUGAGGUUGUGAUGCCGUAUGAUUACUAGAAGACAUGACUCUAGAUAGAGUGGAGUGAGGAGAAUGGGCUGAGGAAACUGGUUCAAAGCUUUAAUGGGUUGAAAACAUAUAGGAUCGUUUGGGAAAUCCUAUACCCUCUGAAGUAGAGGGUGAGGUGUAUGAAUGAAUAGGGUAGAAUGAUUGUUGGCUUCUAGAAUUUAGGUCAUUUCCUUUGUUUUUUAAUGGUUAUGUCUAUGUCCCCAUGAUAAGGGAUGGGGAAAUUGCAUGAAGCUUGGAAAGUUUAGAGUUCUAUCUUAGCUUUAUGCUGGUUGGAUUUAAUGCACAAUUUUUUGGAGCAUAUAUUGAAGGGUUUGGUCAUGGUAUGAUGAGUUGGCCAUUUGAUUCAUUCACCUAGUAUUGGGGAUUUUCUUUAUCAUAUGAUCUUUUCCGUUGCAGUGGGCAGCUUUGACUUGCAGGCAUCGAAUUGUGGAUGUUAGUAGCGCUUCAGCAAACCCUGCCCAAUAUUCACCCACACAUACGAUACUAAAUGAGGAAGGGGCUUUAGUGUUUCUAGCUGUCCUCCCCCUCUCUUCUUCUCCCUUUUUUUUUUUUCAAUUUUUUGCUUUCAUGAUGCGUUUCUCUGCACUGGCAUGGCAAGCAUUGCAUGUGGAUUCCAGGAGUAUUAUAUAGAGGUCUUGUUCAACUGAAUAAAAUUUCAUGCCAACAAUUUGGGAUCUGCCUUUUCUUUCUUUUCAAUCUAGUAUAACACCCUUUUCCUAGGCUCGGAAACAGUUUUGUAAAAAUACUACUGGUAUCCAAACAUGAGUCCCUCUAUCGUGUUAAGAAUGGUUUGAAUAUGGUCGUGGCAUGCAGGCCUGAUAUGAACUUUGAUUUCAUGUGCAACAGGUGUGGAUCUCAGUUGUACUUGGGUUGUGCCCCUUUUUCAUUGUAAUAAUUUUUAUUCUCUUUGCCUACCAACAACAAAAGAAAAAAAAUCAACAUGUUUGGAGCAUUUAUUUUCCUUGAAACACAAGUGAUAUGAUGAGGGUUGGCACAACUAGUUUGAAUGUGAUCCCUCAUGAUAUUAUAGAGUAUCUGCAGUUGCCUAUGGUUUUUAGAUGUUAGCGGGUUUUUGGAUGUUAUUCGUGGUUAAUUCUCAGAUUCUCUUGGGAUUUGCUGUGUUAAGUUAUAUGUUAUUCUCUAUCUUUGCAGUGUCAACAAUAAAGUAGUAAAAAUAUGCCCAUUGUUCCUGUAAUGAAAUGUACUAGUUCAUUUUAUCUUUUUUUUUUUAAAUCUUAGUUCUGAUAUAUAACAUUAUUCUUUGAUUAAAUGUUAAUAGAAUCACUUUGCGCUAGUUCACAUUUCAUUUCAAUAUUUAACCAAACAACAAAACUAGGCAGUAAUUCAUUCAGACGGUAUACAAAACUCGACGGUACUUCAUGUAUGCUUACAUUGUUCUCACAUCUCAUAAUUUCAAGCAUUAGUACCUUUUGGCUCAUUUCUAAUUUGUUUGGAAAGGGGGAAAAGGUAAAAAAAACCUUCAGUUGACUAGAGCAAGAUGAGUGCUUUGCUUUUUUCUUCUUCUUCUUCAUUUUUUUGAAGAGAAGUUCCAACACUGAUCUUGACAGAUGAGUGCUUUGCUUUUCUUCUUCUUCUUCUUCCUUUUUUUAAAGACAAGUUUCAACACUGAUCUUGACAGGUGUACUAUUCUCAUUUACUAAUUUAUUUUGUAAUUUAUUUUCUGACCACUUGCAGGAAUGCCUUGGGUCCCUCUUCUGGCACAGUAUGUCUAUCUGGAUUACUUAUUUGUGCUGUUCAUGUGGUGCGUGCUGCUGUUGAUAGUGCAAGACAAGAAGAACUUCAGGGAAUAGUGAACCUUAUGCUCCGAUGCUGCGUUAAUGCCUUGCUGACAGCUAUUGAUUUUCUUAACAAGUUCACCAUCAAUUUUGCAGCAAUAACUGGUGAAGCUUACUGUACAUCUGCAAGGAUGACAUAUGAGCUUCUAAAGCGUAAUCUACUUUCUGCUGUUUUUGUGGAGACUGUCUCCUCUCGAAUAUUAGGUGGCAUUGUUUUUGUGUUCUCAGCAAUAUAUGCAAUUGUGGUAAGUAGUUCUUUCCCUGCCUAAUCAUUCAAGUUUGCAUAUUAGUUGUUUAAGAUGGUCCUGCAAUGGGUGGAUGAUAUGCUGAAGUUAUCACAUUGUUACACAUGUGACAUUCUUCAGGCACUUCAUGACAGGCUGUUGAAUUUUUUAUUUGUUUCUUGAUUCUGGAUGUGUAUGUGCAGGCUUGUGCUAUCUUAAAGGCUGUAAGCAAUCUUGGAGCUGAUGCAUACUUUGUGGCCGCUCUGGCAUGGGUACUGCUGAUCUUGGUGCUGGGUUUCUUUGUUCAUGUGCUCGACAAUGUGAUUGACACAGUUUAUGUGUGCUAUGCCAUAGAUAGGGACAGGGGGGAGGUUUGUAAACAGGAGGUUCAUGAAGUUUAUGUUAACCUACCCAUCCGAAGGAACCAUAGAUCAUCUCUUGCCAACAGAACAGUAGGUGUAUAGUUGACCAUGAAUUCAACUUGCGUGUUGGGGUUUUGCCUCUCACUUGUUGUCUGUAUGAAGUUAAAACUGCAUCUCGAUGAGUUGUGCAUACCUUCGAAUGUUGCAUUGUACAAUUUCUAGGUUGGUUCAAUAAAGAGGUAGUCCAGACAGCUUAUUGGAUCAAUUCAGUUUGUUCUUCUGUUGUGCAAGACAAAUCACGUGAAGCACAAACAAACCCAUUGGUGCUUGUCACCUAUGGAGGUGAUCGGCUGGGGACUGAUAUUUUGGCCGAGUUGGUGAACCAUGAGAAAUGUGUUUCUGCUACUCUUUUUUCUUUUGGCCUGCACACAUUUGGAUCAGGUGUCAUCAGCCAUGAAUUCUGUUUCAGUCUUGCAGGUGUAUCCUUUUCUAUUAAUGAAGGUGUCACUUCUACUUAUUGGGGAAAUUUUCUUGUCUUUUCAGUUUUUAUUGAUGAUACUGAAUACUCAAGAUCAAUAUGUUAAAAUCCGACAGUUGUAUUCAUUUCGGUACAGGUACCUCAUCAAUGCUUAGAUGGUGUUAUUUAAUACAUUCCCAUCCUGUUCCUGUUCAUAAAUUCUUCAAUAAUUUCUUAUUUUAUUUGUUUCUCUUUAUGAGCAUUUAAUGAAAGAGAGUAACAAUAUGAAUGCCUGUACAAUCAUCAACAUCGAUUCUCACUCACCUCUCCAAUGAGUUCCUUUUAUUUCUCAUGUUACAAGACAAAUGAUUCUGUUUAGGUUGUGUUUUAGAAAGGACCCUGAAUUUUGAUUGGAAUACCUAAUGCUCCCCCAAGUUUGAUUUCUUCUUUUGAUUCAUUUGAAGUGGAUGGGUCUUCUUGUUGAUUUGGGAUUAUGAUUUUCUUAAUAUAGGCUUCUGUAAAUGAUUUGUGGUUUGUUUGAAGUGACUUGGUCUUCUGGUUGAUUUGAGAUAUACUUUUCUCAAUGUCAGAUUUUAUGAAUGAUUUGUGGAUUGUUUGAAGUGAUUAGGUCUUGUAGCUGAUCUGGGAUUCUAUUUCCUCGAUGUAGGGUUUUAUAAAUGAUUCACUGGUCCACUGGUCUUCUGUAAACUAAGUGUAUUGUCCUCCAUAUAUCUGCCCCAAAUCACAGAAGGAAAACCAAAGGGAAGAGUAAAGAGAACCCCACCCCACCCAUACAGCACAAACAACUCAGACUAAGGAGGCCAUUAUCAUCCUUUAAAUGUCCUGAUAUCCUGUUUAACCAAUUCCUGUGCAACAACAUGGUUUCUUCUAUUUCCUUCAGUAGACAGUAUAAACAAAAUGAGCUAACAAUGAAGCUGUGAAGCUCAAAUCAAUCACUUUUUACUUUUCUUCUUUUGAUGCAUUUCCUGUGAUAGGUUGCUAUUGGGAUGGUGACUUGUCCUCUGUUGAUGUUGGGACCUUCUUCUUUUCUGACGUUAAAACAAGUGAAAUUGUGUUCAGACAUCAAGCUCUGUUAUUUCUUUUCUGGUAGUUGAUUGGCCUCUGCUUGAGUUUGAGUUUUCCGAGUUAAGCUUGGAGGGAAGGUGAGAGUCAAUAAACAAAAAAUUAUGGAACUGCUUGCAAUGGGGCCAAUCUUGACAGGUUGGCCUUGGUUUCAUGGUCUGCUAAUGGCACCAAAAGUGCAAGAUCAACCAGACUGGCCUUGAGCAUGACAGCCUAAGUUUGGUUUUAACCUCCAUUUUUCGGGUUUUGCAGAUAAAACCAUAGCCAUGAUCAGGAUAGACAUGUUUGCCUAAGCAGCAAAACCCAUCCCAUGCACCCCUGUUUCAAAAGUUCCAUGGAAUCGGAUAAAAGCCCUCAGCUACCAACAUGGCCUGUGAGUUGUACGAUUCUUGUCCACUGAUUAUUUGUCCAUUAAUCUUGGGCCCUUUGCUAAACCAAGUACUUCCAUUAGAAAGAAGCCAAGAACUAGCGCCUUGAUUCAUGGGGUCCCAAAACAGAGCAGUUAGUUAGCCAAAUCCUCGACCACAACCCUCAGUUGGGUUCACCAUAAUUGUGAUUUGAGCACUGGAGAGUCAGAUUCUAGUAAUAAAAUUGAGCCAUGAGACACUCGUGUGGACACCCACAUGAAGGACAUGUCCCCCAUACACGUUCACUUGUUCUGUUCCUGGAAAUUUCACUGAAUUUUUAGUGUUUGUUCCCUCUCUGUUUCAGCUUGAUUCUCCAUCUCUCUCACACACACCCAACCCCUCAUCUUUAUCCCAAUAUUAAAAACCCUAUGCCAUACUAUUUUAUGUGAUCCAUGUUAGGUUUGUUGCCCUUAUCUUCCAAAAUUGCUUUAGACAUUUUUAUGGGACAACUCAUGCUUGGGGAUUUGAAAUCUUGGAGUUAUUACACCCAAUACUUAUAAAAUAUGAAGGGUAUGAAUAUGGAUUACUACUAAAGUAUUCUGCAUGCACUGAAUCAUUUGCAUGUAGAAGUUUGUCAUUCUCUCUUUUCAUCUUGGUCAUUGCAUAUCGCAUAAGUGUAUAGCAAAAGUAAAUAUGAUCCAAAACAUAAAGAAUAAGAUGAUAGUAUGACCAAGAUAUGAAAAAUGAAUUUAGGGUAUGAAAAAAAUGAUCAAGGGUAUGUAUAAUACGAUCAAUUUUUCGUAUUGAAUGGUCUACGUUCAAUCAAACCAAAAUAGAAUACAAUUGAAUUAUGAUCAAAUGCGAAAAUAUGAUCAAGAAUAAUGACAAUAUACUUGGUGACAAAAUACUAUCAUUGGCUCGUAUUAUAUACCAAAGAUGAAAUGGUACGAACCUAGAAUUUCCCUUUCAUCUUUUGACCAUUUAGCUGUGGUUUUCUUCCCAUGUCUACUUUGCUUUCAAGCAAAGACUCUGGGAGAAACUCAAGAGAGGGAUAUGGGGAUGUGGGUGUGCUAUCCAAAAUGGGACCACUGUAUUUUUUAUGCAGAGAACUUUUGUUUAUGUUAGCAUGUUUGGCUUGUAUGUGGCAAGUUGAUGAAUCAUAUGCCCAUUUAUUUAAGUUUUAUACCAAAAUAAUAUUAAAAAAAAAAAAAACCUAAAUCUAGAUUAGGUUCUAAAAUAACUCCCAAUCGAUCUAGUUUGUUUUGUCCUUAGAAUGUUUAAUUAUAAGUCAAAAUUGCUGUAAGAUGUGUUUUUAAUUUUGGGAAAAGUGGAUUUUGAUUUAUUAAUAUAAAAAUAUAUGAAAAAAAAUAAUCCUAAUUUUUUUAAAUCAGUAUUAUCUUCAUUUAUUUAAAAAUAAUUUGAAAUAUAUGUACUUUUUAAUGAUCAUAUAAUUAUUCUUUAAAAUGUUUCUUUUACUUAUGAUGUCAUUAACAAUAAUUGACAACUAAACUUUGAUACGUAAACAUUUUCCUUCUUUUUAGAUAUGCUCUUUAUUAUUAUUAUUAUUAUUUUUGUGUUAUUUAUCAUUCUUUUUAAAAAUAUAAAUUAGCUAUGAAAAAAAUAAAAAAAAAUUCAAAAAAUGAAUAUCAAUGAAUUUAAACCACGAUGUUAUAUUUUGGUGUGGUUUUGAUUUGUAAUUAAAAGUAACACCCUUAGGUUAUAUUUGGUUCUCAGAAAGUACAAAAAAAAAAAAGCAAAAAAAUGUUAAGGAAAAUGAUUUUUUCAUAUUGAUUAUCUUAUAAAAUAUUUCAAAGAAAAUUAAAUAUAAUUAAAAUUAGUUAGAAACUUAUGCAUUUUAAAAAUUAUUUGAUUUUUAUAUUGAUGAAUUAAAAUAAAUAAAAUAAGUUUGAAGUAGUAAAUAAAAAUAAUUUAUCAUCUUUAACUCUAUUUUUUAUUUUUCCUUCACUUUUUUUUUGCUUUUACUUUUCUUCUUUAUUUUCUUUUCUUUGCAUUUUUUUUUCAAAUUUUCCGAUAAUAAAGCGUAGCCUUAAUAUUAUUUUGGUUUAAAACUUCAUUUAUGAACUAUUUAUUGCAUCUGUCCUUUCUUAGUGCCCCCUUUGCUGGCUUUUCUGACCCCUAAGCCUUGAGUUAUGUUACAUUAAUUCUUCUUCCUAUACCACUGCCAAACCCUAAUUCCUUGAACUUUCUUUCUUUCUUUUUUUUUAUAAUUUUUUUUCUAAAAUAAAAGAAAAAUUAAUUUCAUCAGCUAUAACAUCACUUUCACAUAAAUGCUCAUCCAAUUUAGGGGCAAAAAAGGAAAAAAAUAAAAUAAAAUGAAUUAAAAGGAUCUUUUUAGAAAAAAAAAUUAUUAAUUGUACUAUAUGUGGAGCAACAUAAAUGCCAUUUGAUUAGAAAAUAACCUUAAAAAAUUUACUAAAAUUAAUAAAAAAAUAAAUCGUACAAUAAUUGUAAUUUCUUUAGAAAAAACUUUAAUGUAAUCAAACCCACGUACAUUAGGGAGUUCCUAAGCUGAGGGCAAAAUGGUCACUUCAAACCAUGUACUGUAUAUUAUUAUUAUUAUUAUUAAUUAAUUAUUAUAUUUAUCAUUGAUCUACGAUAGACCACCGAACUAAAAUCGUAAUUACCGUCAAUUCCAGUGGCAUUUCGAAAACCCACAUCUUUAUAUAACUCCAUGCACCAUACUCUGAAUUCAGACCACCUCUCUCCUUCCAUCAAAAACAUCAGCAGCAAUGGCUAUGGCUUUCAAGAUGGUAUGUUGUAUGAAUUUUAAUUUUGUUUUCCAAAAUUGCUUUCACUGUUUCCAUAUCCCAGCUGAUCCGGUGCUGCCGGAGUGCAGGCGACGACCGGAAUGUGGGUGACCGACGAGUGCAAAAACUCAUUCAUGGAGAUGAAAUGGAAGAAGGUUCACAGGUACAUAGUGUUCAAGAUCGAUGAGGGAUCCAAGCUGGUGACCGUCGAUAAGGUCGGCGGGCCUGGGGAAGGCUACGACGAGCUCGCCGCGUCGCUGCCGACCGAUGAUUGUCGAUACGCCGUCUUCGAUUUCGACUUUGUCACCAAUGAUAACUGCAGGAAGAGCAAGAUCUUCUUCAUUGCCUGGUCUGCACUUUUGGCAUCUUCUUCAUGCUCCAUACCAUACAGUUCUUUUUUUAUUUAUUUUUUCAUUUUGAGUUAUAUGACUUGACCGUUUUACCCUCACUUCAGAGCAUAAGGGUAAUAUGGUAAUUUAACCUUUUGAUUACAAAAUGAUCCUAUUAUUAGGGCACCUAAUGGCACAAUUAUUGGAAUUAAAUGAUUUUUUUAAUCCCUCUAGGUCACCAACGGCAUCAAGGAUAAGAGCAAAAAUGUUAUAUGCGACAUCAAAAGAAGGAUUAAGGAGAGUGCUGGAUGGAAUACAUUAUGAUAUGCAAGCCACCGACCCAACAGAGAUGGGGAUGGAUGUGAUUAAAGAUCGAGCUAAAUAAAUACAUUUGUGAUAAUUUAAUUAUGUUCUCAAAUUUUACUUUAAUUUAAUAACUCGCACCAGACUUGCUUUGUAGUGUUACCUUCCUCGGUUUUGGUACUAAUGUAAGUUAAUCUUCAUCUAAUUUGUAAUAAUAAUAAUAAUAAUAUGUACCAUGUGUGUUUAAUUUAUAAGAAAGUGGGGUUUUUUUUUUUUUUUAAUUGGGCGUGGAUCUACCUUGCCCACAAGCAAGAGUUGGGAUACCCAUGAGGUUAAAUAAUGAAGUUGAUUUGGUGGGUUGUAGCUAUUGGAUCUUCUUUUUUUUGGGGCAUUGGGGUCUUUGAUGAGGCCAAGCUCAUUCAAUUUGACAAUCAAAAAUCAUGGUGUGAUGGGACUCUCGACCCUACUAAUAAAGGGGUGAAACAAAUUGAGAUGGAGAAGAUCCACCCACAAAUAAAUCAUUUUCAACCCCCACUUUUUUUUUUUUUUUUUUCCCACGAUCAAAUUGGAGAAACAUUUCUUCCCUUUAUCUUGAUGAUAGUGGUGGUGGUGGUGCCACAUUACAAUAUGUCAUGACCAACUUUAAUCAAUUCCGAUUCCAAUGUCAAUUUUGGCAUAUAAAAUCAUUUUUUACUAAGGGUUCAUCUUAUCCCUUUUCGACUUAAGAUUUUUAUUUAGAAAGAUGAUUUUGAAAUUAGGCGUUUGAUUUUGAUUUUUAUAUUUUAAAUAUGAAAAAUCAUUUAAAGUGAUUUCUGAAUAAUUACUUAACAUGUGAUUCUUCAAUGGAGACGUAUUAAUAAAAAAGAUGAAAAUGCUUUAAUCAGAGACACUUUCUGAAUGGACUCUUGAUAUUAUUUGUCAAAAAAAUUUUGUAAUGUUUCAAGUGAACCUUAAUAAUGGCUAAGUUUAUAAUAUAUGGUGAUUUUUCAAUAAAGCAACUUUUGAUUUACUUUUGUGCUUCAAUUACUAUAUCCAAUGAUCACUCUAGGGCUUUUGCAACCACCACAAUGAUGCCACACCAAAAUCAACUUUGCUUGAUGUCAUAUAUCACUGUUCAUGAAGCAAAGGCCACUAGGGUCCAACUGCCUAUGAAGAAUGUAUCAUAGUAUAAAAAGGUUGUAAGGAUACCCAUAGCCAAUUGGCACUAAACAGUGAAGUUUGAUGAUGAGCACUCCAAUUAUGAGCAACAAACAAAUGGCCUAGUGAUUGAAGUGACCUAAAAUUGGUGGCUUGUGUUGUGGCCUAGUGAUUUGGGGUAUCAAUGAGAACAGGCCCAUUUGGGAGAUGACUCGAGCUCUUCCAAACUGAUGAUCCAAUUUUAUCUUCCCAUGGAAGGAUAGGGCCGACCCAUUUGACUAGAUUGGAGAGAGGACAAAUGCAGAAGACCAAUCACUAACAAUCAAACACUCACUGCACUUGAUCUUUUGUCCCUUCAAUCUUCAAGAUUUGGAAAUUUUUGUAGUUUUGUAUGUCUUCUUCCUACUUCUAACUUAAAGAUGAAGUUCAAUGCAUGUUAAGAAAUGAGAUAGACUCAAACUAGGGAGUCAUGGGUCCUUGCCAUUGGGCCAGAAAUGCCACGCCUAUGGGCUGUCUAAGACCAGAAGGGAGACAUGCAAGCAUGAUGUCAUGGGCCCAAUAGGAUAUGUGAGAGGUAAAGUUAGGUUGAAUUUUCCGUAACCCAAGGGACAAAUAAUUAUUUAUGACUAAGUGAAAAGAUGCUUUAGGGUACACUUGAGGUAGAUGUUAUUUUUAUUUAGUCUCUGCUAGAAGAAUUUGAUGCUAUGGAGUAUGAAUCAUAUCUUUUAAAGAAAGAUAUGAUUUGAUUAUUAAGGUGGGGUUUUGGUGCUUUUCCUUUUAUCAUUGGGUUUAGUUGCUAAUGGUGGGUUUACAAGAAAGGUUUCCAAGUUCCAAAAGCCAUUGGAGUCAAAAUUACACAAUCUUCUUGGUAAGUAACUUUGGUUCAUUGCAUGGCUUGCCUUGGUUGAAGUCGUUCCUUCAAUUCAACAAGAAGUUACUAUUAUCGAUGCCCUUUUCAUCAAAAGUCGGAAAGCUCAAUUAUAGAGGUUUAGCUCCCAAAUAACACUAAUUUUAGAAUGUUUCUCCUACUUUCGAUUUGAAAAUCAAUCAUCGAGUCAAUUUUAUCUAUAAGAUUCAAGUGUAAUCGAGAAAGACCUUCAAAUUAAAAGAUGAAAACUUAAAAGAUUUACUACUUAAUCUUAAGUAGUGUUUGUUUUUUGGUUGAAUAGAAAAAACCAAAAUAUUUGACUUUUUCUAUUCAACUAAAAGUAAUCUGUUGACAUCAUCUAACAUAGUUAAAGUGAAUUUAUUAUCAACGGGUUCAAUUUAGUUAUGUUGAAUGAUAUCAAUAAAUUAUUUUUAGUUGAAGAGAACAAGCUAAAUAUUUUGACCUUUUCUAUUCGAUCAAAAAACAAACACCACCUUAGUUUAUAAGUACUCUUCCAAUUCCGAUCACUCCUUAUCAACAUUAUUUAUAUAUCUAGAGUGAUUUGAUGUCUUAAUCAUUCCUAAAAAUACUCAAUUUCUCAUUGAUAUUAUUUUUAUAUAUAUAUGAAAUAAUUGUACGACACUUAAACCCUGAUUCAAAAUGUUAUAAUCACAUAUUUAAUUUUCCACCAAGAUGAUAAUUAUGGAGACAAUGAGUUGAUUACAUUAUUAAAGGUUGGGAAAUAUUGUGAUGAAAAAAUAAUAAAAAAAACCCCAACCCCACAAAAUAGAAAACCCUGCAGCCAUGGGUUCAUUUUCAAGAUGGUCCCUUGUCCUUUCCUUGCAAUCAGACCAAAACUUGUGGGAAAUGAGAGCCAGAGAUGCCAAUAAUUGGGAUGAGAUUUAUGAGUAGGAUAGGGUUUCCACCCAACUUCUUUGUUUCCAUCCACAACCGAUGGUUAGAGCAAUUGCUAGCACUCAAUUCCUCUUCAUUGUCUUACCAAUUGAGAGCACUCAAUUGCUUUUAGUUGUACUUUUAUUUUCCGCUUUUGUUUCUUGAGACAUACCAAUGAGGCAUCCCCGUUAAUCCAAGCCUUUAAACUAAAUCACUAAACUUGAUGAGUUUUGGGUCAAAAUGGCCCAUUUAUUAAAAAAAAAUAUAAGAUAUAGCCCAUUUUUGAAACUUAUGUUCAAAAUGCCCUCUUUGGUGCCAAAUAAGCAUCACGUCAUAAAAAAAAAAUAUUUUUUUAUUAUUUUAGUUGAAGUCUCAGUUGCCAACUGAAGCUUUAGUUAAUUUUUUUUUUAAAUUAAAAUUUAAUUAAAAAUGAUUAAAUUAUAAUUUAUGAUUGAAAUUUAAAAAAUAUACUUAAAUAAUAAAUUAUUUAUAUUUAAAUUUAAGAAUUUAGUAUUAGUUCAACAAAUAUAAAUUGAUAAAUAAAAGAUAUUAUAAAUGAAUAUUUUAUUUAUUAAUAAAUUAAUAAUUUUAAAAUAAUAAAUUUAUAUAACACAUAAAUAAUAUAUAAAAUUGUAUUUUUUUUUAGCAACCGAAACUUAAAAAUAUAAUAUUAUUUCAAUAAAGAUAAAUUUGUUAUAAUACAAAUAAUUAAUAUCUUAAAAAACAACAAAUUAAAUAUCUUAAAUUAAUAAAUUAUAUAAUUUUAUAUAUUAUUUAUAUGUUAUAUAAAUUUAUUAUUUUAAGAUUAUUAAUUUAUUAAUAAAUAAAAUAUUUAUUUAUAAUAUCUUCUAUUUAUCAAUUUAUGUUUGUUGAAGUAAUACUAAAUUCCUAAGUUUAAAUAUAAAUAAUUUAUUGUUUAAGUAUAUUUUUAAAAUUUCAAUCAUAAAUUGUAAUUUAAUUAUUUUUAAUUAAAUUUUAAAUUUUAAAAAAAAUUAACUAAAACCUUAGUUGACAACUACGACUUUAGUUUAAAAAUGAAGCCUCAGUUGGCAACCGCGACUUCAAUUCAAAAACGAAGUUUUAGUUGGUAACUGAAGUUUCAACUAAAAUGAUAAAAAAAAAAAAAAAAAAAAUUAUGAUAUGGUGGUUACGUGGCACAAAAAAGCCAUUUUAAACAUAAGUUUUAAAAAGAAUUACAUCUUAUACAUUUUUUUUUAAUAAAUUGGUCAUUUUUACCCAAUACUCAAACUUGGUGGCUUGUACUGUUGUUCGAUUGACUAUUUGGAUCCGAUCAACUUCUGUUGCUACGUAGUUGUAUACACUUUUUAGAAUUUAAUUCACUUACUUUUUAUUCUCUAUAAAAUUAAGUAAUUUAAAAUUACAUAAUUUUUUAAUUUUAGUUAUAUUUGAUUUUAUUUUCUUUUAUAUUUUUAUUGCAAAUCAUAGUAAAAUUAUUUUUCUAAAUUUGUAUUUCCCUUUUUAAAACAUUUUAGAAAAGUAUUUUAAAAUUAUGUUUCACCUUUAAAUUCAGUCUUCAUUGUUGAAAAAACUCUUUAAAAAUGUUACAUUUUUUAUUUUAAAAACAUUAUAAUUUUUACAAAUUUAAAAUAUUCAUUUUUAAAAAAAAAUUAUUAAAUCAAAAUGUGAGCAUGGGGCAGCCCUCAGAGUGGGACACGUCGCUUUCCAGCUCAAUAAAAGUCAGAUGAUGUCAGAACUCAGAAACGAGAAAGGUCAGAGACAGCUGAUGUGGGACAGUUGAAUGAUUACGUGUCGGCCAUGAGGCUAUGCACGUGUACCCCCACACCACAUCUCUGCCGUCGGAUCAAUCAUAUACUAGAACCAGUCAAUGAUCUCUCCAUGUGAUGGCCAUCAUCUAAACCGUCCGAUGAGUGGAAAGUCCAUCUGUAAAAACCAACAUUAGCCGCAAUAGAAGCGAGUAGUUGGCUUUUUCUAACUCCACUGACAUGUUCCCUAGCUUUAGUAAAGCAUCGUGGUUAAGAAAUGCUGCUCCCCACGCGCCUUCUCUCCCACACGCGCCCUAAUUUUGAUUUUUACCAUAAUUUUUUAAACUAAUUUAAAUCCUAGCCAACAUCCACCUUUUUCAAACUUCUACUAAGCUAUACCACCUCAAAUAUUACCAACUCUCCUAAAAGCAAUUACUGUUAGGAAGUACGCACACUCUAACCUUAUAGUGCAUUCACCCAAGCGUCCACGACGAACACAAAGGGAGUUGAUGGAUACAAUCAACCUUUCGAUCUACUAACAAUCUCCCCCUAGCAAUACCCCGACUCUGAUACCACUUGUAGGACUUCAAGUGCUACUAACUCUCAUAAAAACAAUUAUUGUUAGGAAAUGUGUCUACCCUACCUUUAUAAUAUAUUCACCCAAACGCUCACGACAAACACAAGG